GGUUCCUCAGAGAGAAACGGUUGUUCGUGCCGCUGGUGGUGGCCGUCGUAUGCGUCGGAGGCCUGCUACGGCUGCUAGUUCGUCGAAUGCAGGGGCAUCUCUGGAAGAUGGUGCUGAUGGAAGUGAUGAUGAAAUUGCUGCAGAAGAAUACCAUGAAGGAAGAGCAUUGAAGAAGAAAGAAAAGAAGCGACAAGAGCGGGAGGCACAGAGACAGGCUGAACAAGCUUCCCGUGACUCAAGGUUAACAAAACAAGACCGUUAUGCGGAAAUCCGGAGGAAAAAAGAUGAGGAGCGUGAAGAGCAGGAACGGUUACUGGAAGAAGAAGCCAAGGCACGGAAGGCCAAGGAGGAAGAGGCUGCAGCACUUGAGUUUGAGAAGUGGAAAGGAGAAUUUUCAGUUGAUGCUGAAGGUACAACUGAAGCUGAAGUGGAAGGCGGAAAUCAAGAUCUGCUCUCUGCUUUUGUGGAAUAUAUAAAGAAUCAUAAAUGUGUUCCAUUGGAAGAUCUUGCUGCAGAAUUUAAAUUAAGAACUCAGGAAUGUAUUAAUCGGAUCACCUCCCUGGAGAGUAUGGGCCGCCUUUCUGGUGUUAUGGACGAUAGAGGAAAAUACAUAUACAUAUCAAAGGAAGAAAUGCAAGCAGUUGCUGAUUUCAUCAAGCGUCAGGGAAGGGUAAGCAUUUCACAUCUAGCUAGUAAGUCCAACCAGUUCAUUGAUUUGGAACCAAAAGCCCAAUUGGUUGAGGAAAUCAAUGUUGAUGAGAUAACUGUCUCUUAAUACACUUGUUAAUUUUGGAGAGGAAUUUUACACAUCAAAUCAUCAUAAUCAACUAGUAUAUAUUUUACCCAAAUGAU
rnacentral:misc_RNA from 1 species